UGGCUAAUUCCUGUCAUGCAGACAGAGAAAAAAAAAAAAGCUUUGACGUCUUGUCCACAAGAGAUUCAGAAGAUUCAGAACAUGGUGGACGACAGUAAAAGAGAACCCUCUGAACUACAGAACUUCCUGCCCAACAAACAGGUUACAUGUGUACCCAUGAAGAUUCAAAGAGAUUAGGAAAUUAGCAGAAAACAGCUCUACAGUCUGCUUGGCAGCACAAGAAAGAUAGUAGGACCCAUUCGGAAAAGUGUGAGAAUGGACUGUUUAUUGUGUAAAUGGAAGAAACUGCCUGAAGAGGUACCUGGCGGCAUUCAUGUGUGCUGCAGUUCCUCAGAAAAAGAAUAUUUAAAGCAGCUCAUCACAACACCUUAACAGGUAGCAUUCCCUAAACAUCAGCUUUAGCUCCAGUUACGGAGUCUCCAAAACUGAUUGGUAUUUAAUGCCAAGCCAGAAUUUUCUCCAGAAAGGAAGAGGACCCAUUUGCAGACAAUUGUUUCGGGGUGUCGCUCCUCGUCAGUAGAGAGCGAGUUGUUCUGGCUUGGCUGGUGAGAGGCCUUUCACCUAGGCAAAAGGGGUAAGUACUCUCCAGAGACACCAUUUCUGGUGUGUGGAGAUUCAAAGGCCAUUAGCACUCCACUGGGGCAAUAUUGUCUCCGUAAGGAGAGUACUUACCACAGUUCCUCAGUACAUACUUGACUUCAUUUGUGUUUUAAUGCCCAUAUAAAAUGAAUAGGCACCUGAGCAUACUGUACUGUAUGUCAGCCGUAGCCCUUCUGAUGAACUUUUCAGCUUCAAUGUAGGAACAAUGCAAAAUGCAGGUGACUGAUUUUUUGACAUCCAUGUAUUUUAUUUCCUUUGGAGAUAUGUGUUUGAGACAAGUAUGGGUGUAGCCAAGUUUACUGCAAAUUUGAGCCUGAUAUAUUGAAUUUCGCCUUGCACGCCUUUCCCAAGGAAUGACACUGGUUUGCCAUAGACUUGUAAAACUAAAUUGUGUGUGGGGUUUUUGUGCUUUUUUGGCUUUUAUGAACCUUCCGCCAGAGCGUUCUUUUGUGACACAACCUGUCUUGGGUACAUCUGUGCAUUGUUAAACUAAUGAAUCCUGUCUGUGGAGAAAGGUCCAACAAGCGAAUGUUUUACUGGAUUCUUUGGCAUUGCAAGAAGAGAGAAAAAACUUGGUGAAGAAGUCGACACUAAUCGUGCACAGUAACAAGAGAAAAAGCUGCUUUUAAGAACUUCUGACACUAAAAAGGUUGCUUUGAGAACAGACUAAUAUGCACUUUGCUGUUCCACAUAUAUAUCCAAAGUUAGGAGAAGGGGCCAAUCUCACAAUGGUGUUUGGUGACCAUGUGUGUAUUCAGAUCCAAAACAUGUCACAGUUGAUAACAUGCUACAGUAAAAAGUGUUUAGUUACGCAAGCUGGAGCUAAACAUUUUCCUGGAUACAGGUUAAAUGAAUUCAUUAAUCCCACUGCUUCUAAAAAAUAAACAUUUUCUAAAACAAUGUUCUGUAGUUUCU